rnacentral:rRNA from 1 species
UUUCCGGUUGAUCCCGCCGGACCUGACUGCUAUCGGAUUGAUACUAAGCCAUGCGAGUCUUUGCAGUAAUGCAAGGCAUACGGCUCAGUAACACGUAGUCAACCUACCCUAUGGACGAGAAUAAUCUCGGGAAACUGAGCAUAAUUCUUGAUAGAUCAUAAUGCCUGGAAUGGUUUAUGGUUAAAAUGAUUCGUCGCCAUAGGAUGGGACUGCGGCCUAUCAGCUUGUUGGUGAGGUAAUGGCCCACCAAGGCGAUUACAGGUACGGGCUCUGAGAGGAGAAGCCCGGAGAUGGGUACUGAGACACGGACCCAGGCCCUAUGGGGCGCAGCAGGCGAGAAAACUUUGCAAUGUGCGAAAGCACGACAAGGUCAAUCCGAGUGGUUUCUGCUAAAGAAAUCUUUUGCCAGUCGUAAAACCGCUGGUGAAUAAGGGGUGGGCAAGUUCUGGUGUCAGCCGCCGCGGUAAAACCAGCACCUCAAGUGGUCAGGAUGAUUAUUGGGCCUAAAGCAUCCGUAGCCGGCUUUGUAAGUUUUCGGUUAAAUCCAUGUGCUCAACGCAUGGGCUGCCGAAAAUACUGCAUAGCUAGGGAGUGGGAGAGGUAGACGGUACUCAGUAGGUAGGGGUAAAAUCCUUUGAUCUAUUGAUGACCACCUGUGGCGAAGGCGGUCUACCAGAACACGUUCGACGGUGAGGGAUGAAAGCUGGGGGAGCAAACCGGAUUAGAUACCCGGGUAGUCCCAGCUGUAAACGAUGCAGACUAGGUGAUGCAUUGGCAUAAUAGCCAUUGCAGUGUCUCAGGGAAGCCGUUAAGUCUGCCGCCUGGGAAGUACGUACGCAAGUAUGAAACUUAAAGGAAUUGGCGGGGGAGCACCACAAGGGGUGAGGCCUGCGGUUCAAUUGGAGUCAACGCCGGG